UGCAAGUCGAACGAGACUUACCUAGCUUGCUUUGUAAGUUUAGUGGCGGACGGGUGAGUAACACGUGAGCAACCUGCCCAGAAGAAAGGGAUAGCUCGGGGAAACUCGAAUUAAUACCAUAUGUGAUCCUGCAGUGCAUACUGCGGGAAUGAAAGGUGCCUUCGGGUGCCGCUUCUGGAUGGGCUCGCGGCCUAUCAGUUAGUUGGUGAGGUAACGGCUCACCAAGGCAAUGACGGGUAGCUGGUCUGAGGGGACGACCAGUCACACUGGAACUGAGACACGGUCCAGACACCUACGGGUGGCAGCAGUCGAGAAUCAUUCGCAAUGGGGGAAACCCUGACGGUGCGACGCCGCGUGGAGGAUGACGGUCUUCGGAUUGUAAACUCCUGUCAUCGAAGAGUAAGGCUGAUGUAUUAAUAGUAUGUCAGAUUGAUAGUAUUCGAAGAGGAAGGGACGGCUAACUUCGUGCCAGCAGCCGCGGUAAUACGAAGGUCCCAAGCGUUGUUCGGAAUCACUGGGCGUAAAGGGAGCGUAGGCGGUGAGGUAAGUCAGAUGUGAAAUUCCAGGGCUCAACCCUGGAACUGCAUCCGAUACUGCCUUACUAGAGUAGUGGAGGGGCAUCUGGAAUUCACGGUGUAGCAGUGAAAUGCGUAGAGAUCGUGAGGAACACUAGUGGCGAAGGCGAGAUGCUGGACACUUACUGACGCUGAGGCUCGAAGGCCAGGGUAGCGAAAGGGAUUAGAUACCCCUGUAGUCCUGGCAGUAAACGGUGCACGUUUGGUGUGAGAAGGUUCGACCCUUUUCGUGCCGGAGUUAACGCGUUAAACGUGCCGCCUGGGGAGUACGGUCGCAAGACUAAAACUCAAAGAAAUUGACGGG
rnacentral:rRNA from 1 species